GCGCCCAUAGCUCAAUUGGAUAGAGCAUUAGUCUUCGGAACUAAGGGUUGCAGGUUCGAUUCCUGCUGGGCGCA
rnacentral:tRNA from 1 species